GGGGGGACGCAGGAGUGAAAGGCCAGCCGGGUGAUGGACGUCCCGGUCUAAGCGUGUAGGAGGGCACCGCAGGCAAAUCCGCGGUGCCAGGACUCCGAGGCGCGAAUGGGAGGGCUUAGCCCACAAACUGGCCCUAAUCACACUGCCAAGAAAAGCCUCGGGCGGCAAGAUCUGCAGGUGACCGUACCGGAAACGGACACACGUAGGCGAGGAGAAUAUCCAAAGGUGCUCGAGAUAGCCGUGGUCAAGGAACUCGGCAAAAUGGCCCCGUAACUUCGGGAGAAGGGGUGCCUCAAGUAGGUGAAUCCCCACGCGGGAGGAGCCGAACGAGGCCGCAGUGAAGAGGCCUGGGCGACUGUUUACUAAAAACACAGGUCUAUGCCAAGUCGUAAGACGACGUAUAUGGACUGACACCUGCCCGGUGCCGGAAGGUUAAGGGGAGGGGUUAUCCCGACUUCGGUCGGGAGAAGCUCUGAACCGAAGCCCCGGUAAACGGCGGCCGUAACUAUAACGGUCCUAAGGUAGCGAAAUUCCUUGUCGGGUAAGUUCCGACCUGCACGAAUGGUGUAACGACUUGGGCACUGUCUCGACCACGGCCUCGGCGAAAUUGUAGUCCCGGUGAAGAUGCCGGGUACCCGCAGCAGGACGGAAAGACCCCGUGAACCUUCACUACAGCUUAGCAUUGGGUUUUGGCAUGGCAUGUGUAGGAUAGGUGGGAGGCUGUGAAGCCCGGACGCCAGUUCGGGUGGAGCCGCCCUUGAAAUACCACCCUUGUCAUGUCGAGAUCCUAACUCGCCCGACUGAAGCGUCGGGGAGGACAGUGCUAGGUGGGUAGUUUGACUGGGGCGGUCGCCUCCUAAAAGGUAACGGAGGCGCCCAAAGGUCCCCUCAGCACGGUUGGUAAUCGUGCGUAGAGUGCAAAGGCAUAAGGGGGCCUGACUGCGAGGCACACAGGCCGAGCAGGCGCGAAAGCGGGGCUUAGUGAUCCGGCGGUAGCGUGUGGAAGCGCCGUCGCUCAACGGAUAAAAGGUACUCCGGGGAUAACAGGCUGAUCAGGCCCAAGAGCUCACAUCGACGGCCUGGUUUGGCACCUCGAUGUCGGCUCAUCGCAUCCUGGGGCUGGAGAAGGUCCCAAGGGUUUGGCUGUUCGCCAAUUAAAGCGGUACGUGAGCUGGGUUUAGAACGUCGCGAGACAGUUCGGUCCCUAUCCGCUGCGGGCGUAGGACAUUUGAGGGGAGCUGCUCCUAGUACGAGAGGACCGGAGUGGACGCACCUCUGGUGUACCAGCUGUUCCGCCAGGAGCACCGCUGGGUAGCCAUGUGCGGACGGGAUAAGCGCUGAAGGCAUCUAAGCGCGAAGCCCACCCCAAGAUAAGAUGUCCCUCCCGAUUAUUCGGGACUGAAGGCCCCUCGGAGACUACGAGGUUGAUAGGCCGCAGGUGUAAGCGCGGUAACGCGUUGAGCCGAGCGGUACUAAUAGGCCGUGCGGCUUAACCG
rnacentral:rRNA from 1 species